rnacentral:rRNA from 1 species
AGGCAGCAGUGCGGUAAUACUGCACAAUGGGCGUGAAGCAUGAUCCCGCAAUGCCGCGUGAGUGAUUAAGGCCUUAAGGUUGUANAGCUCUUUAACCCCGCAUGAUAAUGACGGUACCGGCAGAAUAAGCNCCGGCUAACUCCGUGCCAGCAGCCGCGGUAAUACGGAGGGAGCUAGCGUUGUUCGGAAUUACUGGGCGUAAAGCGCGCGUAGGCGGCUUUUUAAGUCAGAUGUGAAAGCCCCGGGCUCAACCCCGGAACUGCCUUUGAUACUGNNUUGCUAGAGUNUGGUAGAGGUGAGUGGAAUUCCGAGUGUAGCGGUGAAAUUCGUAGAUAUUCGGANGAACACCAGUGGCGAAGGCGGCUCCCUGGACCAGCACUGACGCUGAGGCGCGAA